UGCGAAUGGCUCAUUAAAUCAGUUAUCGUUUAUUUGAUAGUACCUUCCUACUUGGAUAACCGUGGUAAUUCUAGAGCUAAUACAUGCUAAAAACCCCGACUUCGGGAGGGGUGUAUUUAUUAGAUAAAAAACCAAUGCCCUUCGGGGCUCCUUGGUGAAUCAUGAUAACUUAACGGAUCGCAUGGCCUUGCGCCGGCGACGGUUCAUUCAAAUUUCUGCCCUAUCAACUUUCGAUUGUAGGGUAUUGGCCUACAAUGGUUUCAACGGGUAACGGGGAGUUAGGGCUCGACUCCGGAGAGGGAGCCUGAGAAACGGCUACCACAUCCAAGGAAGGCAGCAGGCGCGCAAAUUACCCAAUCCCGACACGGGGAGGUAGUGACAAUAAAUACUGAUACAGGGCUCUUUUGGGUCUUGUAAUUGGAAUGAGUACAAUUUAAAUACCUUAACGAGGAACAAUUGGAGGGCAAGUCUGGUGCCAGCAGCCGCGGUAAUUCCAGCUCCAAUAGCGUAUAUUAAAGUUGUUGCAGUUAAAAAGCUCGUAGUUGAACCUUGGGCCUGGCUGGCCGGUCCGCCUCACCGCGUGCACUGGUCCGGCCGGGCCUUUCCUUCUGGAGAGCCGCAUGCCCUUCACUGGGUGUGUCGGGGAACCAGGACUUUUACUUUGAGAAAAUUAGAGUGUUCAAAGCAGGCCUUUGCUCGAAUACGUUAGCAUGGAAUAAUAGAAUAGGACGUGCGGUCCUAUUUUGUUGGUUUCUAGGACCGCCGUAAUGAUUAAUAGGGAUAGUCGGGGGCAUCAGUAUUCAAUUGUCAGAGGUGAAAUUCUUGGAUUUAUUGAAGACUAACUACUGCGAAAGCAUUUGCCAAGGAUGUUUUCAUUAAUCAGUGAACGAAAGUUAGGGGAUCGAAGACGAUCAGAUACCGUCGUAGUCUUAACCGUAAACUAUGCCGACUAGGGAUCGGGCGAUGUUAUUAUUUUGACUCGCUCGGCACCUUACGAGAAAACCUUGCAGUGUCC
rnacentral:rRNA from 1 species